AGCACCUGACUGGUUGAAAGCUGUUCAGGCACUGAUGAUCCUUGGGAUUCUGGUUAUGGCAUUGAGUACACUUCUUGGGUGCUUGUUUUCAAAAUACAACUCGAAAAAAUAUUUGUAUUUAAGCACGAUUCUUACGGCUGCUCUUGGAGGUAUUGUAAUCAUUAUAGCGGUGGUAGUGUUUGGAGCUGAGGAGACAAAGUUUCGUUCCCACUUAAGUGCUGGCUUCUACUUGGCAGUUGUUUCUGGUGUGCUGUCGUUGGCUGCUGCAAGUCUUCUGGCUAUUUCAUCAAGAUCUACCGGAGGAUAUAGCCUUAUUUAACGCCCACGGUCGUCUCUGAAACAUGUCUAUAUCACAAACUGACUAAUUGUGGAAUUUAUAACUUUUAUACGUUUGAAUACUUUAAAAAUCUUCCUUUUUGUCUCUAUUAGAAGUUAUAAUUGAGAGAACAAAUAAGAUGCAUGCGUAUGUGAUUUUUUUGAGAAAGCUAAAUUAGAUAUGAAAAAAAAAUAAAUUAACAAAUAUAAAUAAGAAAUUAAAUUCUUUUAAUCUUAAAUUGGGUUGUAGAAUAACAUACGUUUAUAUAGUAUAUAAAUGUUAAUUUGAAAGCUUUUGCACGACACAAAACUAUCCUGUUCUUUGAAAUUUAUACGUCUAAUGGUAAGGAUGUGAUGAAAAUCUCUGAUAACCUUUGUUUGAUUGUACUAAUACAAUGCGUAGUAACUAGAGAGUAACUGCGAGUCUUGAAAAUAAAUAGUAAAAUAGUGCAUGGAAAUUGAAAUAUAACAUGGUAUGUUUUGCUGCCUUUAUUGACUUUAAAAAGGCAUAUGAUUCGGUCAGUACGUGAAGCGAUGCAAUAUGAGACAGCCUCAUAUACCGCAAACAGUAACAACAGAGUGUUUCACCGUGACAACAGGCCUCGUAUUCUUUACUAUAAGAUAUGGGUAAUUAAGAAAAUAUAUUUUAGAAUUUUAUAUAUCAUUUAAUUUGUACAUGUACUACAUUGAUUCACACAUAUUUUGUUCAGGUUUUGCAUAUGAACCGCAUUGACAUUUCCACUUCUCCACUUAUUUUCAGAGGUAGUUCAUAUAUGUAGGAACAUACGCACGCAGGCAGGCACGCACGCACGCAUGUACACACGCAAUUCAUACAUGUAGGCACAUACGAAUGCGCGGGCACACACACGCACGCACGCACACACAUUAGUUUUACUGUGAUUUAUCCAAAUGUUUUAUGUAAAUAAAGGACGAUAAUUAACAUUU
rnacentral:lncRNA from 1 species